rnacentral:rRNA from 1 species
UGGGGAAUAUUGCACAAUGGGCGCAAGCCUGAUGCAGCCAUGCCGCGUGUAUGAAGAAGGCCCUCGGGUUGUAAAGUACUUUCAGUCGGGAGGAAGGUGGUAAGGUUAAUAACCUUGGCAAUUGACGUUACCGACAGAAGAAGCACCGGCUAACUCCGUGCCAGCAGCCGCGGUAAUACGGAGGGUGCAAGCGUUAAUCGGAAUUACUGGGCGUAAAGCGCACGCAGGCGGUUGAUUGAGUCAGAUGUGAAAUCCCCGGGCUUAACCCGGGAAUGGCAUCUGAUACUGGUCAGCUAGAGUCUUGUAGAGGGGGGUAGAAUUCCAUGUGUAGCGGGGAAAUGCGUAGAGAUGUGGAGGAAUACCGGUGGCGAAGGCGGCCCCCUGGACAAAGACUGACGCUCAGGUGGGAAAGCGUGGGGAGCAAACAGG